GUGAAUCAUCAAAUUUUUGAACGCAAAUUGCACUCUCUUCGGAGAGUAUGCCUGUUUGAGGGUCAGCUUAAAAAAAAUCGCCAUCGUUGCUGUUUCGCGGUGGCGUUCGUGGGAAAUUGGGUUACCUUAAACCUUUGGUUUAACCGCCUUAAAUUUUUCUUUACGAUUCCUGGAACUUUUCCAAGAUUUAUUUCUUUACACGUUUAGGUU
rnacentral:misc_RNA from 1 species